UACGUAGGGUGCAAGCGUUAAUCGGAAUUACUGAGCGUAAAGCGUGCGCAGGCGGUGAUGUAAGACAGGUGUGAAAUCCCCGGGCUUAACCUGGGAACUGCAUUUGUGACUGCAUCGCUGGAGUGCGGCAGAGGGGGAUGGAAUUCCGCGUGUAGCAGUGAAAUGCGUAGAUAUGCGGAGGAACACCGAUGGCGAAGGCAAUCCCCUGGGCCUGCACUGACGCUCAUGCACGAAAGCGUGGGGAGCAAACAGG
rnacentral:rRNA from 1 species